rnacentral:rRNA from 1 species
UACGAAGGGGGCUAGCGUUGCUCGGAAUCACUGGGCGUAAAGGGUGCGUAGGCGGGUCUUUAAGUCAGGGGUGAAAUCCUGGAGCUCAACUCCAGAACUGCCUUUGAUACUGAAGAUCUUGAGUGCGGGAGAGGUGAGUGGAACUGCGAGUGUAGAGGUGAAAUUCGUAGAUAUUCGCAAGAACACCAGUGGCGAAGGCGGACUCACUGGCCCGAUACUGACGCUGAGGCACGAAAGCGUGGGGAGCAACAGG